UUCAUUAGACUUGGCGUAAUC
rnacentral:piRNA from 1 species